rnacentral:rRNA from 1 species
UACGAACUGUGCGAACGUUAUUCGGAAUCACUGGGCUUAAAGGGUGCGUAGGCGGCUAUCUAAGCAGGGUGUGAAGGCCCCCGGCUCAACCGGGGAAUUGCGUUCUGAACUGGAUGGCUGGAGUGAGAUAGGGGUGUGUGGAACUUCCAGUGGAGCGGUGAAAUGUGUUGAUAUUGGAAGGAACGCCGGUGGCGAAAGCGACACACUGGGUCUCAACUGACGCUGAGGCACGAAAGCCAGGGGAGCGAACGGG